CGCGUAGUUAGCCGUGGCUUAUUCGACAGGUACCGUCUUCUGCUCUUCCCUGUCAAAAGAAGUUUACAACCCGAAAGCCUUCUUCCUUCACGCGGCGUUGCUGGGUCAGGCUUGCGCCCAUUGCCCAAUAUUCCCCACUGCUGCCUCCCGUAGGAGUCUGGGCCGUAUCUCAGUCCCAAUGUGGCCGGCCAACCUCUCAGUCCGGCUACUGAUCGUCGCCUUGGUAGGCCGUUACCCUACCAACUAGCUAAUCAGACGCGAGGCCAUCUCUCAGCGAUAAAUCUUUGGUACCAGUACCAUGCGAUACCCGUACGUUAUGCGGUAUUAGCAGUCGUUUCCAACUGUUGUCCCCCUCUGAAAGGCAGGUUCCUCACGCGUUACUCACCCGUCCGCCACUAAGUAGUCCUCUCCAUUGACCGAAAUCUCUUUCGAGGGUACUCCGUUCGACUUGCAUGUGUUAAGCACGCCGCCAGCGUUCGUCCUGAGCCAGGAUCAAACUCU
rnacentral:rRNA from 1 species